rnacentral:lncRNA from 1 species
CUCAGUCAUCGCGUCACCAAGCCCCACGUGCAGGUUCUGGCAUCCAUCAUGGCAAACUGGAGACCGCGGGACUAUGGAAAGACUACAUUUCUCAACCUUCCUAGUAGAUGUGAUGUCACCAGUCGGAAUUGGGCAGAAGAAUGUAUCACUUCAGUCCAAGGCAAUUAAGUGGUCAAACCGUAAGAGACUGGCAGCUUUCAUACUGUUGGAUGCAUGUUUUGGGAUGCCUCCCUCUCAGAAUCUAGCCACCAUGUUCUGAGAAACCUAAGCCAUGUGAAGGGGCCACAUGUAGGUGCUUUGGUUUGCAGCUCCGACCCUCUAGCCAAUAGAUGGCAUCUCCUGCCAGCCAAAUGAGUGAGCCAUCAACAGUAACCUGCCCAGCUGAGUCUUCAGCAACAGCAAUUUAUUUACGGAUUACCUACUCAGUUGGUGCCAAGCCUGGUUCUAGAUGCUGAAGACAGAGCCUAGAUCAAGAUUGACUUGGUCCUGGCUUUCCUGAAGUUCCCAGCCUGGUAGAAGAGACAUAAUAAACAACUAGCAAACACA